rnacentral:rRNA from 1 species
UACAGAGGGUGCAAGCGUUGUUCGGAAUUAUUGGGCGUAAAGGGCGCGUAGGCGGUGCGGUAAGUCCGCAGUGAAAUCUCUGGGCUCAACUCAGAGUCUGCUGUGGAAACUGCCCGUGCUUGAGUGUGGGAGGGGGUGAGUGGAAUUCCCGGUGUAGCGGUGAAAUGCGUAGAUAUCAGGAGGAACACCAAUUGCGAAGGCAGCUCGCUGGGACGUUACUGACGCUGAGACGCGAAAGCGUGGGGAGCAAACAGG